GGAUAUGAGGGUGACCUGACUGCAACACCUGUCACUGCACUGAUCACCAGGAUUGGUUUGGCUGAUCUGGCUGGCUAGGGGGUGUCCCUUUCCUCCUUCAUCAACCAUGUGUGUUCUUCAACACCUGCACAUUCAGUUGAAGUGGACCCCCUUCCCUGGUAGAGUAUCACUGUUAUUCAGUAAAGUUAUGAAUAGCUGCACCCUCUACUGAAAUAUCCAAGCAGCCCCUCAGACCUGUUGUAACUGUGAUUUCCACUUUCUCUUAUCAACACUGGGAAUCAUUGAAAUUCUUAAUUUAGCUGCUG
rfam:Cavia porcellus supercont2_0 genomic scaffold, whole genome shotgun sequence.